UACGUAGGUGGCAAGCGUUGUCCGGAUUUACUGGGCGUAAAGAGCGCGCAGGCGGUCGUUCAAGUCGCGUGUGAAAGCCCCCGGCUCAACUGGGGAGGGUCACGCGAUACUGAUCGACUCGAAGGCAGGAGAGGGAAGUGGAAUUCCCGGUGUAGUGGUGAAAUGCGUAGAUAUCGGGAGGAACACCAGUGGCGAAGGCGACUUCCUGGCCUGUUCUUGACGCUGAGGUGCGAAAGCUAGGGGAGCAAACGGG
rnacentral:rRNA from 1 species